rnacentral:lncRNA from 1 species
AAAAGGCAUUUUACCUGCCUGAUCACUGACAGAUGUGAGACUGAGCAAGACAGACGCAAACCACCUAAAGGAUUUUGAUGUGGAAAAUAUGUGAUGAGCAGGUAUGCAAGUAAGCCUGACUCCUUCAACACUCUAAAAGAUAUGGAAGAAUUGCAGUUCAUAGAUAUUUGGCUACUGAUUUAACCACUAAUGACAUGUAUGGUCUGCCUCCUUGGAAAAGUCUCUUCGCAGCUCCGUACUUUGAUUUCCCUCCUUGUAAAACUGACUACAGAUAUUUCUACCCCUUGUGAGACGGUUCAAGGAAGUUUCAGGAGAAGGAUGCUAUAUAACGAACAAAGAGACACAAGACAAAAAGCUGGGAAAGGAUCCUGGAAUGCAGGGACCGAUACUCAAUGGCUGCUGGGGAAGAGACAGACAGUUGCUCUCUGUUUGAGCCAUCCUUUGGUCAGAGCAGCAACACAAGGUGCUCCAAGCAAAAAGCAGGGAUCAGCUGCUCGAGCCAUAUCAGCUGCUGGAAAAGUCAAUCCCCAUACUAUCGAGUCCAUACAAAGUAAUUGCUGGCAGUCAUGUGCCUCCCAGCAGUGUGAUUACUUGGCAGUCUCCUGACCUAAACAGUUUCCUGUUUUGCCUAAGCCUAAAGCCAUCCCUGAAUCCAAAUUCCCAGUUUGGCAGAUGAUGGGACGAAUAGGUAUGACAAAGGCUCAGUGACAUUAUGGACAGGCCUAGAGUCAGGCUUUUGGGUGUCUAUGGGUCUCUACUAAUAGUGAUGUAAUGACAGAGGGAUGUAGCUAUCAACAGCAUAUGCAGCAAGUGAGGGAGAGCUGGAGGAUUCUGUGUAUAUACAUACAGCAUCAAUUAUUUCCUGCAUUCUUCUGUGGCUGUAGCUGUAUGUAACUUGUUGUAACUGGAAUGCAACUUUUUUUAUCUGAAAGCACUUAGGGCCAAUGCAUUGAUCCACAUGUAGCGGAAUGAAAACCAACCUUAAAAACAUAGUAAACAGCACCAAAUAUUUAUAAGUAUUUAAAAAUAUUGAUAAAUAAUUGAUCAACAGACAGAAGGAGCAUACAGAAAAUAAAUUCUUCGUAAGAAAUUCCA